UCACAUUAUCAAGCUUGGCUUGUAGUUGGGCCCCUUGUCACUGGGUGACAGGUCCAAAAGACAAUGGCCAGUGUCAUACAGACGCUAUAUGCAACGAGCUGACCACAGCACGCAUCUGGUAGUUGUAUGGCCUGGUUCUUGCCCUUUAUUUCUCAA
rnacentral:misc_RNA from 1 species